rnacentral:rRNA from 1 species
AGCAGCCGCGGUAAUUCCAGCUUUAAUAGCGUAUAUUAAAGUUGUUGCAGUUAAAAGCUCGUAGUUGAAUUUCGGGAUUGACGUGAUGGUCAUGCCUUAAGGGGUAUGAACUGUCACUGUUGAUUUCUCACCUUCUGGAGAACUUGAUGUCCUUUAUUGGGUGUCUUGCGGAUCCAGGACCUUUACCUUGAAAAAUUAGAGUGUUUAAAAGCAGGCAUUUUUGCUCGAAUACAUUAGCAUGGAAUAAUAGAAUAGGACGGCAUGGUUCUAUUUUUGUGGUUCUAGGAUCACCGUAAUGAUUAAUAGGGAUAGUUGGGGCAUUAGUAUUCAA